rnacentral:rRNA from 1 species
CCUACGGGAGGCAGCAGUGGGGAAUUUUGCGCAAUGGGGGAAACCCUGACGCAGCAACGCCGCGUGAGUGAUGAAGGCCUUCGGGUCGUAAAGCUCUGUCAGAGGGGAAGAAACGCCUGCGGGUUAAUACCCGGUGGGCUUGACGGUACCCUCAGAGGAAGCACCGGCUAACUCCGGGCCAGCAGCCGCGGUAAU